UACGGAGGGUGCAAGCGUUAUCCGGAUUCACUGGGUUUAAAGGGUGCGUAGGCGGGUAUAUAAGUCAGUGGUGAAAGCUCCGAGCUUAACUUGGAAACUGCCAUUGAUACUGUAUAUCUUGAAUGUCGUUGAGGUUAGCGGAAUGUUGCAUGUAGCGGUGAAAUGCUUAGAUAUGUUACAGAACACCAAUUGUGAAGACAGCUAACUAAGCGAUGAUUGACGCUGAGGCACGAAAGCGUGGGGAGCAAACAGG
rnacentral:rRNA from 1 species